rnacentral:piRNA from 1 species
UCACCACUCCCACUUGCUAUUCUGAUGGCUC